GACGUAGGGGGCAAGCGUUGUCCGGAAUUACUGGGCGUAAAGCGUGCGCAGGCGGUUUGUUAAGUCUGCUGUGAAAUCCCCGAGCUCAACUUGGGAAUUGCAGUGGAUACUGGCAGGCUGGAGUAUGGUAGAGGAAGGUGGAAUUCCCGGUGUAGCAGUGAAAUGCGUAGAGAUCGGGAGGAACACCAGUGGCGAAGGCGGCCUUCUGGACCAAUACUGACGCUCAUGCACGAAAGCGUGGGGAGCAAACAGG
rnacentral:rRNA from 1 species